AAUCAACGCUGGCGGCGUGCCUAACACAUGCAAGUCGCACGAGAAAGUGGAGCAAUCCAUGAGUAAAGUGGCGUACGGGUGAGUAACACGUGAAUUAUCUACCUUCGAGUGUGGAAUAACUGAGAGAAAUCUUAGCUAAUACCUCAUAAUACCUACGGGUCAAAGCAGCAAUGCGCUUGAAGAGGAGUUCGCGGCAGAUUAGUUAGUUGGCGGGGUAAUGGCCCACCAAGACGAUGAUCUGUAUCCGGCCUGAGAGGGCGCACGGACACACUGGAACUGAAACACGGUCCAGACUCCUACGGGAGGCAGCAGUGGGGAAUUUUGCGCAAUGGGGGAAACCCUGACGCAGCAACGCCGCGUGGAGGAUGAAAUCCCUUGGGAUGUAAACUCCUUUCGAUAGGGAAGAUAAUGACGGUACCUAUAGAAGAAGCCCCGGCUAACUUCGUGCCAGCAGCCGCGGUAAUACGAGGGGGGCAAGCGUUGUUCGGAAUUAUUGGGCGUAAAGGGUGCGUAGGCGGUUUGACAAGUCUUGUGUGAAAUCUAUGGGCUCAACCCAUAGUCUGCACAGGAAACUGUCG
rnacentral:rRNA from 1 species